UACGGAGGGAGCUAGCGUUGUUCGGAAUUACUGGGCGUAAAGCGCACGUAGGCGGCUAUUCAAGUCAGAGGUGAAAGCCUGGAGCUCAACUCCAGAACUGCCUUGAAACUAGAUAGCUUGAAUCCAGGAGAGGUGAGUGGAAUUCCGAGUGUAGAGGUGAAAUUCGUAGAUAUUCGGAAGAACACCAGUGGCGAAGGACGGCUGC
rnacentral:rRNA from 1 species